rnacentral:misc_RNA from 1 species
AAGUCGUAAUAAGGUCUCCGUUGGUGAACUAGUGGAGGGAUCAUUAGUGAGUUCAGUUUUCUAAAACCAUUGUGAAAGCACCUACAGUGUUGCUUUGGUGGGGUAACUCCCGCUGGCAGUAUUAAACUCUGUAAUUAUUGUAUUUCUGAGUAAACUUUUAAUAAGUUAAAACUUUCAAUAAUGGAUCUUUUGGUUCUG